GACGAACGCUGGCGGCGUGCUUAACACAUGCAAGUCGAACGGAAAGGCCCUGCGUUUGUGGGGUGCUCGAGUGGCGAAAGGGUGAGUAACACGUGAGUAACCUGCCCUUGACUUUGGGAUAACUUCAGGAAACUGGGGCUAAUACCGGAUAGGAGCUCCUGCUGCAUGGUGGGGGUUGGAAAGUUUCGGCGGUUGGGGAUGGACUCGCGGCUUAUCCGCUUGUUGGUGGGGUAGUGGUUUUCCAAGGCUUUGACGGGUAGCCGGCCUGAGAGGGUGACCGGCGACAUGGGGACUGAGAUACGGCCCAGACUGCUACGGGAGGCAGCAGUGGGGAAUAUUGCACAAUGGGCGGAAGCCUGAUGCAGCAACGCCGCGUGCGGGAUGACGGCCUUCGGGUUGUAAACCGCUUUCGCAUGUGACGAAGAGUGAGUGACGGUAAUGGGUAAAGAAGCACCGGCUAACUACGUG
rnacentral:rRNA from 1 species